CCUUUUGUAUAAUGGGUCAGCGACUUAUAUUCUGUAGCAAGGUUAACCGAAUAGGGGAGCCGAAGGGAAACCGAGUCUUAACUGGGCGUUAAGUUGCAGGGUAUAGACCCGAAACCCGGUGAUCUAGCCAUGGGCAGGUUGAAGGUUGGGUAACACUAACUGGAGGACCGAACCGACUAAUGUUGAAAAAUUAGCGGAUGACUUGUGGCUGGGGGUGAAAGGCCAAUCAAACCGGGAGAUAGCUGGUUCUCCCCGAAAGCUAUUUAGGUAGCGCCUCGUGAAUUCAUCUCCGGGGGUAGAGCACUGUUUCGGCAAGGGGGUCAUCCCGACUUACCAACCCGAU
rnacentral:rRNA from 1 species